GUUAUAAGUAUCAUAAAAAAACAAGAGCAUCAAAGAUUGAUAUGGUCUAAAAAAACUACUUUAUUGGUAGAAAUUUAAUGAAUAUCUCAGUAGUAAAAAAGAUAGGAGGGAAUACCGGCUAGAAAUUCUGAUGACCUAUGUUUAUUUCUAAAUGGUUCAAAUUUUGUUCAAAAUAUUAAAAUUUAAUGAAGUAAUUUACUAGUAUUAAAAUAUUCAAAUGAAUUAGUAAAUAUCUUUCUGUUUCGAUUUAGUUGUCGUUGUAAGAAAAAAAAUUUGUUUCAAAACAAGUGUCGUUUUAGAGUUUCAAUGUAAAAUUUAUUAAUAAGAUUUUCCACUUUAAUUUUCUAUUGGUUAAAAUAUGGUUAAGUAUAUAGGUAAUUGUGUUUUUAUUUUGGAAAUACACAAAAUCAUAUAUUUUAUUAAUCUGUGUUCAUAAACUUAUAAUGACGAUUAAAAUGAAACAUAUGGAAUAAUUUAUUUGAAGAACAAGUGUUUUUGAUGCUUGCAAAAAAAUAACCUAUUUCCCAUCUCCGAAACUAAUCUUAACACCAUUGUUGGUCAAAAGAUGAGUCUCCGGGAACUGCUGAAAUAUUUAACAACUAUUUAAAAAUAUUUUAUGAAAACUUACGUGGAUGAUUUAAUUACUUUUCCUUGGUUAAUAUAGUACCUACGUCUUGCACAAAAAUUAUACUCGUACCUAUGACAAAGGCAAAGAGUGAGGAGAAGAACAAGUACGACCGCAGGAAAAUCAAGUUCAUUGUAACCUUUAGCGAGACCAAUUACUUUAACUCUCCAAGCGUUUGGAUCAGAAACGCCAAUCGCAGUACACAUAUACUCCGUAAAGCUUCUAGCAACCGCCGCGUUGGACAAAACAUACUCCAAUAGUAUGUUGACUCCUCCAAAAUACCCGAUGAACUCACCUGGCCCAAGUGUAUAGAUAUAUUUAGUAAAGUUCUUAGGCCAUCCAAUUAGGAGCCUCUCAAAAAGAGUCUCAUCUCAAAAAUAAUAAUAUUUUAAUAAGUUAUUUUUUAUUUUAUUUUUUUAAAUGUGAAAAUCUUUCAAAUGAUGUGUUUUUAAACUUCUGAGAGACAUCCUUAUAAUUCUAUUUUUGGUCUCAACAUCGAUGCCUUUAUCCUCAAUAUAAAUAUAUACUCUUUUUCAAGAAAAUUAAAAACGGCUUACUCUUAAAUGUAAAAUGGAAAACGUAAAAGUACAUUUUCCUUCAAAAUAAGUAAUUUUGCAUUUGAGUGAGGAACUACUAUAUAUUAAAUAUUAACAAAAAGAACCAUAAAUAUAAAAAGUUAAAGGAAAAGUGAACUCUUGAAGGGUCAGUACUUUUCUUCUGACAAAGAUAGCAUACGAGAAUGAACAGAAAGGAAUCUCGUAUCCGUACCAUAUUCUCUAGAUCUCUCUGACUGCGACAGCUGACAACUACUAGUAUUAUUUACGUGCCUUUUUCUUUUCAUAAAAAUAAUAAUCUUUGUAUAGGUAAAAGAUGUGUUGGGAUAACAAACAAAAAAACCUCACCAAAUGAUAAAAAUUUUAAAACAAAAGAACAAAAUUUCAUUAAAAAUUAGCCUAUAACUACUUAACAGGAUAUUAGUCAAACUUGAACACUGCAUUAUUUACCAAAUUAUUAUUUAUUAG